rnacentral:tRNA from 2 species
GCAGUCGUAGCCGAAUGGUUAAUCCGAUGGACUAGAAAUGCAUUGGGUUUCCCCGCACGGGUUCGAAUCCUGUCGACUGCG